UACGUAGGGGGCUAGCGUUGCUCGGAAUUACUGGGCGUAAAGGGCGCGUAGGCGGACCUGUCAGUCAGGCGUGAAAGCCCAGGGCUCAACCCUGGAACUGCGCUGGAUACUGCGGGUCUAGAGUACCGGAGAGGAUGGUGGAAUUCCCAGUGUAGAGGUGGAAUUCGUAGAUAUUGGGAAGAACACCGGUGGCGAAGGCGGCCAUCUGGACGGUAACUGACGCUGAGGCGCGAAAGCGUGGGGAGCAAACAGG
rnacentral:rRNA from 1 species